rnacentral:rRNA from 1 species
UCGUGCGAGAAAGGGCUUCGGCCCCGGUACAGCGGCGCACGGGUGAGUAACACGUAGGUAAUCUACCCCCAGGUGGUGGAUAACCUUCCGAAAGGAGGGCUAAUACAGCAUGAGACCACGACCCCGAAAGGGGAUGAGGUCAAAGCCGGCCUCUUCACGAAAGCUGGCGCCAGGGGAUGAGCCUGCGGCCCAUCAGCUAGUUGGUAGGGUAAUGGCCUACCAAGGCAAAGACGGGUAGCUGGUCUGAGAGGAUGAUCAGCCACACUGGAACUGAGACACGGUCCAGACUCCUACGGGAGGCAGCAGUGGGGAAUCUUGCGCAAUGGGCGAAAGCCUGACGCAGCGACGCCGCGUGAGUGAUGAAGGCCCUCGGGUUGUAAAGCUCUGUGGAGGGGGACGAAUAAGUCGUGGCUAAUAUCCACGAUGAUGACGGUACCCCUUUAGCAAGCACCGGCUAACUCUGUGCCAGCAGCCGCGGUAAGACAGAGGGUGCAAACGUUG